UUAAAGAGUUCUAUAACUCCCAAACCCAUGUGAACAUACCUAACGUUGCCUCGGCAGGUCGCACCUACCUUGUAGCACCCUACCCUGUAGGGCCUACCCGGGAGGUGCGGGUAAGCCUGCCGGCGGCCCACCAAACUCUGUUUGAUAUUGAAUUCUGAACCUAUAACUAAAUAAGUUAAAACUUUCAACAACGGAUCUCUUGGUUCUGGCAUCGAUGAAGAACGCAGCGAAAUGCGAUAAGUAAUGUGAAUUGCAGAAUUCAGUGAAUCAUCGAAUCUUUGAACGCAUAUUGCGCCCAUUAGUAUUCUAGUGGGCAGGACCGUUCGAGCGUCAUUUCAACCCUUAAGCCUUCGUUGCUUAGUGUUGGGAGCCUACGGCAACGUAGCUCCUCAAAGUUAGUGGCGGAGUUGGUUCACACUCUAGACGUAGUAAUUUUUUAUCUCGCCUAUUAGUUGGACUAAUCCCCUGCCGUAAAACCCCCAAUCUAUAUCAAGGUUGACCUCGAAUCGGUUCAGACAAACUCGCUAAAUUGAAGCAUCUUAGUC
rnacentral:rRNA from 1 species